AUCUGGCUCAGGACGAACGCUGGCGGCGUGCCUAAUACAUGCAAGUCGAACGAACUCUGGUAUUGAUUGGUGCUUGCAUCAUGAUUUACAUUUGAGUGAGUGGCGAACUGGUGAGUAACACGUGGGAAACCUGCCCAGAAGCGGGGGAUAACACCUGGAAACAGAUGCUAAUACCGCAUAACAACUUGGACCGCAUGGUCCGAGCUUGAAAGAUGGCUUCGGCUAUCACUUUUGGAUGGUCCCGCGGCGUAUUAGCUAGAUGGUGGGGUAACGGCUCACCAUGGCAAUGAUACGUAGCCGACCUGAGAGGGUAAUCGGCCACAUUGGGACUGAGACACGGCCCAAACUCUACGGGGAGGCAGCAGUAGGGAAUCUUCCACAAUGGACGAAAGUCUGAUGGAGCAAGCGCCGCGUGAGUCAGAAGGUUUCUGU
rnacentral:rRNA from 2 species